UACUCGAGUGGCGAACGGGUGAGUAACACGUGGGUGAUCUGCCCUGCACUCUGGGAUAAGCCUGGGAAACUGGGUCUAAUACCGGAUAGGACCAUGAUUUAGUGUGUGUGGUGGAAAGUUUUUUCGGUGUAGGAUGAGCCCGCGGCCUAUCAGCUUGUUGGUGGGGUAAUGGCCUACCAAGGCGGCGACGGGUAGCCGGACUGAGAGGUUGGUCGGCCACAUUGGGACUGAGAUACGGCCCAG
rnacentral:rRNA from 1 species